CAGCACCUCAAGUGGUCAGGAUGAUUAUUGGGCCUAAAGCAUCCGUAGCCGGCGCUGUAAGUUUUCGGUUAAAUCUGUACGCUCAACGUACAGGCUGCCGGGAAUACUGCAGCGCUAGGGAGUGGGAGAGGUAGACGGUACUCGGUAGGAAGGGGUAAAAUCCUUUGAUCUAUUGAUGACCACCCGUGGCGAAGGCGGUCUACCAGAACACGUCCGACGGUGAGGGAUGAAAGCUGGGGGAGCAAACCGGAUUAGAGACCCGAGUUAGUCC
rnacentral:rRNA from 1 species